rnacentral:rRNA from 1 species
CAGUAGCCGCGGGAAUACGGAGGGUGCAAGCGUUAUCCGGAUUUAUUGGGUUUAAAGGGUCCGUAGGCGGAUCUGUAGUCAGUGGUGAAAUCUCACAGCUUAACUGUGAAACUGCCAUUGAUACUGCAGGUCUUGAGUAAAUUUGAAGUGGCUGGAAUAAGUAGUGUAGCGGUGAAAUGCAUAGAUAUUACUUAGAACACCAAUUGCGAAGGCAGGUCACUAAGAUUUAACUGACGCUGAUGGACGAAAGCGUGGGGAGCGAACAGGAUUAGAUACCCCCGUAGUCCCUGUCUCUUAUACA